ensembl:lncRNA
CUUUGGUUGAUAAGAGGCAUAUUUGGUUACACCUGGUGAUAUGUAGAUAAGAUUAAAUUUGAGACAGAGGGAUGAGGGGAUGGGGGAAGAGUCGGGGUGAAGGGAUAAAGGUUUUUCUCACCGGUGCAUGAAGAACAACAUCUCAGGUAGUUGGGGUAGGGGUUGAAGGAUUGUCAGAAGACCUGGCCUGAACAUGGUGCUAAAUGCAGUUAUGAGGCUCUGAGCCUGGAGUUAGAAGUUGAGGUAGAGGUAAUCCUUGGAUUAAGGCCGAGACAGGCUCCAGGACGGGGACACUGGCUGCUGACAGUGGGGCAGAGUGGAUGUUCCUGGGGUCGAAAGGUCGUGUUUACCUGCAGCAGGUAUUUCCUCUGGGAACUGAUAAGACUUGGGGAGGGGAAGUGCUCUGUUCCAGGUGAGUGCAGAGGGGCCUGCAAAAUGACACCGUACACAGUCCUUAGCUAAACCCUCCUUCCCUACCGGCUCGUCCUGUACCUACACAAACAGGUCACCUUUUAUGCCUCAUGCACUGACCUUUACUGGUUUUUUAUACAUAGUGGCCACUUUAUGCAUAUAAUAUGGCCCCCUCCCAAUCUCCUUUUAAUAUCUGAUGGCUAUUUAUGACAAUUAAAAUCAAAAUACUUUUUGAUCAUUGCCUGAACUGGCUGUUUUUUUGACCUAAUACAACAAGAACAUGGGCUUCUUAAAGUUUCUUCAUUUAAGGAGGCAGCUGUGAUAAGACUAGGGUGUCAGCUUGUUUGUUUUCCUUUCUUCAUCUCCCUCACCUGGCUCAGCUCUGAGUCCCUAGCCCCAGGUGCUGAGAGGAGUCAGUGAGCUAGAACAUGUUAACAAGCACAGCCUUAACCACUGUACUGAAAGACACACAUGCACGCUGUGCUGGGUGGUAACUGGGUGGGGUGGGAAAAGCUCAAUAGUGGUAUGCAGUCAUAUUUUUUUAUCAAUAAAAAGUUUCUACAAAGUUUGAGAAUGUGUUUGUGUGACCUCGACAUUUUUCUUCAUGUUUUGUGGUUUGUGAUCUCUUGGUUUGUGCCAAUAUGAUCGGCUUUUUUCCCCACCUAUUUUCACUAAAUGCAAAAAAAUGUGUAGAACAUGUGCCAAAAUUGUUUGUAGUCAUGUCAGCUACUGCCAACAAGAGCUUAAGCAGCUGCAGAAAGCAGGUCCUUUGGUAGUUGUGUGAGUCUUGACACCUGUUUAUGUCUGCUCUGUGUAGUAGAAGACCCUUGGUGUGUGUUCUCAAGAGUUAACAUAGCUGUCAUCAGCAGAGGAGGUGAGAGUGUGUGAGAAAGCCUCAUUAGUACCAAGGAGCUGCUGAGGUAGCACACGGCUGCCAUUGUGGCCAAUCCAAACAUCAGGUCCUCUCCAUCCGAGCCCCCCACUUCAGAACCCCCAACCAAAUCCCAUUUUCAGGCUCUGCAGCUGCCCUGCUCUGCCAGAGCACUUAGCCGUGUCAUUCUAUCCGGCUCUCCAGGCCUCUGAGGAAACAGGCCUGUUUUGUGCUUGGCCGUCUCUGAUAUGACUCCAGAAAUGGAAAUGAAGCCAUGGAUCUUCAUUAGGAGAGGCAGGUGUCCAGAGAGAUUCAGCCCAGGUGAAGAAUCCGGGAGGGGGCGGCUAGUGAGGGUGAAGCCGGGUGAGGGGGAAUUGGAUUGGUAGGGGUUUCGAUCCUUAAAACCCAGUGAUGGGCCUGUUACCCUCCAUACACUCUCACACGCACACACACACAGGCGCAUACACACUUCUUUGCCAUCACCCCCUUACCCCAUCCCUCUCCCCUACCCCAGCACUUAAUUGCCCAUGUAAUGAGCUGCAGUGAAUGGGAUUACUUGUGUGGAGGUACUUGAGGACCCUGUGCAUCGGGGGCACCUCCUGCAGGCCCUCAUCUCCAGGGAAUACAUUUAGGAUGAUGUUUUCUAUGAAGCACAGGGGCAAAAACCUCUCUGCAUCUGGUCUAGUUACAUUAAACCCUCCACAGCUUGCCCCUCCUUCCCUAGCCUCUCACCCCCUCUGGGCCUUUUGUUUCCCUAAUUAUUCAUUACAGAGAGGUGGCCUUCCCUUUGAAACCUGUGGAGGUGGAUGAGGCUUGGAGCUGACCACGAAGCAUCGGAGCAUCCCGAAGCCCGAGAUGUCUUUGUGACAGGACACCUGUUAUUUCCAUCCAUCCUCUAUCAACUUUGCCCCCUCUCCUCUUACUGCACAUUAACAAAUCAGAGAGGAAAAUAAUCCUGGCAUAUCUAUGUUAAUGUAUACCAACAGUUUAUUGCAUUUGAUGUAUAGUAUGAUGCUUUGUUUUCAUUUAAGCGAAGGAACAGUGACAUGAAUUUUAAUGCUAACUUUUUAAUGCAGUCUAAACUAGUGGAGACAAGCAGAGCUGUUUGAUCAAUAUCAUGUAAAUCAGUGACAUGCUCAGAAAGCCUCUACUUUGGAGGUUAUGCAAAUGUUAUUUUGUUAGUUCCAUUAAGCAAAACAGACUGUACAUUCCUCUUAAUCUGUGUGUAAAGUGUGAAGGAGCACUCCCCAUGGUGCCCUGAGCUGCUUCUCUUCUCACGCUGUUUUUAGUAAAAUAUUAGCCCCCUCAGCCCUGUGCUGGGCGGCUGACAAAUAGAGGGCUGUCUUCCCCCUUCUCUCACAGGGCUGAGGGUUAAUGAUCCCAGUUUCAGGGGUUAAAGCUUGCCAGUAGGCCUUUCUCCUGCACCCCAACAGAUGUUGCUAGGACUUUAAUGUGGUUAUCAAAUCAGAGUGCCCUCUAAGCCCCAGGAGCUCAUUGUGUGUUGGUGCAUUCCAGGCCCUCGCCGUGGUGACAAGGCAUCCUGGGGGCCAAGCUGGGCUCCCGCUGAGCCUUCCAGCAGCUCCUCAGAGCUGACAGCUCGGGCAGCCCCUCUCCCCAUACCACCUCCGCCUCCACUAGGCUCUCUCUGUUUCUGUCUCCGAUCCUAUGCCCUCUGUGUCAUAAAGUCAUCCUCCAUUUCCCCCUCUGUCCCACAGUGGCCCUCGCUGGUGUGCUCCUCACACAAAUAGGCCCACUCACCCACUUUCACUACCCCACUCACAUUCUUGGUCACACGCAUCCAUCCAGCUUAGACACGCACAUGCCCACCAUGGUGGCAUUUGUUUAAAUAUGUGUACAAAACUGGAAACUAAAAAGUAUUGUAAAACAUGCAGAUGCUGUGAAUACACGGUGCACUUAGCCACAGUGGUACUAAGGUGCUUUAUAUGUCAGUUUGGGCAUCUAAACACUGAACUGAAAGAAUUCUGAUUGGUGUGUAAACAUCUUGUAACUUUAAAGAGCUCAUUUAGAAAAUCCCUUAUGCAAGUGUUAAAUGGUAAAACUUUGUGGCUGUCCUUAAAGAUACCUAAAAAUUAAAGUGAAAAGUGACGUUUUAUUAGAGGGUUUAACGAAGAAGCAGAUUAUAGAGGUUACAUGAUCAUAUAUGUUCAUAUAUUUCUUAAAGAAGUACUGAAUAACACCCAUAUCAUCCCCCAAAAAAAUUUGGAACAGGAAUUUACACUUAAAAAAGUUAAAAAUUCCCAAUCCUGAAAACUUGCCGGCUUGUAGAUGACUUGAAAAUAUCCCUGUAGUGAGGUGUGGUUCCAUCUACAACAGGAAAUUCAGGAUGGACUGAAAAGAGGUGAUGAUUGUUAGUCUAAUUACUUCUGUGUUCUAUAAAGCAUGUUUAUGUUUUAUAAAUAAAAAUGCAAGUUUAAAAAAAUCAAAUGACCUUCCAGUAAUCGUCUAACAAUUUUUAUUGCUAGCAUUUUUCACGAUGAUGCAACAUUUAAACGAUGCUGUAUAUGUCCACAAACACAAGGCGCUAUGAUAAACAGCGCAUGUAAACUCAUUAGAAACUGUAAACAGGUUGAGUUUUCAUCGGUGUCACAAAAGCCUCCUAAAUGAAUGGGUCAUGGUCUGGAGGCGAUACUAGAGACUGGGGUCAAUCUGUGCCUUUCUGCAUGUACAGUAUCAAUGGCAGCAGCUGCGAGAUUGUUUGUACACAGAUGCAGGGGUGCUUGAUGAUAAUUGCCUUGCAGCUGCGCUCCGGGCAUUGAAUUAGGUGCAGGUUUUUUUUUUCUUUUACCCCUUGGUGGCUCAUAUUGUGCGCAAGCCAUUAAGAGCAGGAAUGUGGGAAACAGUUGUAAUUAAAGUAUUCUGUAACUCAAUUAAGGACUCUUCCCCUACAGUUUCCCCUGAGCCCUAACUGCUAUCCUACACCUAUUCCCUUCUGCAGGGGAUCAAAGGGUGUUUAUAGGCUGUGGCCUCUAUCAUCACUCGCCUGGCCCAGAGUCUUACUCGUUUAACUAAUCUCUGCGCUGGUUGCAAUAAGAAAGAGGAAUUCGUUAUGUGAAAAAUUGAAGGCAAGAUGGUAUAUGAGGUGGAGUUAAAACAGUGAAGUGGAAUAAAUGGAGAAUUGGUGUUUCAUGGAGUGCUGUGAACCUGCUUACCACGAAGAGGCGAGGCACUCAUUAAAGCCAUGAGUCAUUUUUCAUAAGCUGUUAUCACUUCACUGUGCACAGAAGAUGGAUUGAUGACAAUUAUACUGAUGAAAACCUCACAUACACUUUUUUGGCAGGAAUAGAGCACUUAAGAGAUUCAUGCUAUCAUUAUUUUUAAGUUAAUUUCUUAAAAUUAAAACAAUUUGCGAGACAGAUAACCAUCUUUUUAAAAUUUAAAAUACAAUUCUUUAAUAUGCAAUAUGGCAUUACUUUUAUAUAAACUGUAUAGUUUUUAUUGCAAUAAAAUUAAAUCCCUUUGUUCUAAUUCCCCCAAACUGAUGCAGGCUGGCUACUGGGUAAUGUAUCCAAAUACUCUGAACAAUGACAGGCAACAAUCAAGGUGCUCAAUUAACUGUAUAACGAUUAAGACAUCAAUUACCAAUUUGAUUGAUGAGACCAAAUGAUCCGAUUCAUUUUCUUCAUUCAGCGUAAAAACUGGAAGCAGCAGUAUGAGAAAAUGUGUUGAUUAAUGGUGUGCAUGUACAGAAACCCCUUCUCUGUGGUAGUAUGUGCAAUUUAAUAUGCAAACACAGUAAACAUUAAAAAUAGCUUUUGCUAAAUAGGUUUAAAAUCCAUAAUAAGAAUUACACAAUAAAGAGGGAACAAACAGACUUGCGUUAUUUAAAAAAAACAAAUGCAUUUAAAGAGCUGCCAUAAAUAUAUAUAUGAUUUCUCAGUUAAUUCUUUAUAAUACAUGUAAGUAUUUAAUGUAUCAGAUGAAUGCAUUUCUUUUCUCUGUUGGUAUUGAUGUCGAUGAUGUUCCUCUGCCCCUCUUACAAAGGCCAAAACAAUGUUUGAAGAGCGCCUUGAGACCAGCUUGGACUAAGGCUUUAGUUUUUAUUCUGUUCAUGUUGUCAAUGUGUAGAGGGAUAAUUGAGGCGAUCUUUGACUAUGGGAUCUAUUUAUACAGGGCAUAAUUCCCUCCGUAUUCAGGCAUUAUCAUGGUGUCAGAACAAGCACAAUGGCACAAUAAGGUCAAUAUAAUGAAACUCCAAAACAAUAUGGUGUCAUUCGUAUAAUAAAAUGUGAGCCACUCUCGGUUUGUUUAGUCCUGCAACAGUCAUGAUCUUGUACUGAGCUCUUUGUAAAAUUAUUUGCAAAUAAAAAUGCAUUUUGUGGAAGCCGAUUUGACAUAUGACAAAUGGUCUUAAGUUAUUCUGUAAUAAAAUUCUUAAAAAAAAAAAAAAAGCAAGGAAAAGUAAAAAAAAAUGUUUGUAACUUUUAUAUUUUCUAUUUUUUAAAUUGAAUUCUUUAUGAAAGUUGUGAUUACUACUAUUGUGUGAUAGUAAUAAUGUUAGUGGCUGUUAUUGUGUUAGCUUGAAACAAUUGUAAUUACAGUAUUAUUAUUAGUAGUAAACCAUUAUUUGUGCC